rnacentral:misc_RNA from 1 species
GGAAUUUCUCUAAGAGACCCACCGAUACCAGUAGGUUUUUCUCGCUGGAAUACCCCAUCGACGAUCACCGUCGGCUGCCCUGCUGCCAUAGUCUCCAUCUUUUAGUUAUUAUUAAUUUGAGACUGAUGGGUCGUGGCUAAUAUCCAAAAGACUAAAGAAAAGGAAGGUGGAUAUAUUGAUGAAUAAGAUGAUGGAAUUAUAGAAG